rnacentral:rRNA from 1 species
UGCGGUUAAAAAGCUCGUAGUUGGAUUUCUGUCGAAGAUGGUCGGUCUGCUCUACGAGCGUGUAUCUGAUGCGCCUUUGGCAUCCUCGUGGAGAACGUGACUGUGCUUGACUGCAUGGCGCGGAAGUCACAACUUUUACUUUGAGGAAAUUAGAGUGUUCACGGCAGGCACGCGCCCUGAAUAUAUUAGCAUGGGAUAAUAAUGCAGGACUGUAGUUCUAUUUUGUUGGCUUCUAGGACUAGAGUAAUGAUUGAUAGGGAUAGCUGGGGGCACUUGUAUUAACGCGUCAGAGGUGAAAUUCUUGGAUUGCGCUACGACAAACUACUGCGAAGGCAUUUGUCAAGGAUGUUUUCAUUGAUCAAGAACGAAAGUAUGGGGAUCGAAGAUGAUUAGAUACCGUCGUAGUCUAUACCAUAAACUAUGCCAACUAGAGAUUGGAGGUCGCUAUU